rnacentral:lncRNA from 1 species
UUAGACCUGAUGGGGAGACGUGAGUUAUCAUUUAAUCCACGCAUUACUGUUUGGCACACCUUGGGUGUUUGACAUAUUACACUAUGACAUACCUUGGGGUGUGUUUAACUUAUAUCUAUUUUCUUGUGCUAGGCACUGGUUAGAAUUAUAUACAUUUAGAAAAAAAUGUGAGAAAGCCAAAUGGUGUGCUAACAAUUCUGUCCAGACUACAGUGGAUGGUAGCCUUGGUGGUUUGUAUAAGUUUCUUAUGGUGUGUAAAGCCAUUUGAUAUAGUUUUCUAAUUUGUAUCAAAAAUUUCAGACCAUCGCAUCCCUUCAAGGAGUUCAAGGGCCUGAGAUUCCAUGUAUUGUUAUACCUCCACCUCCAGCUUUUUCAACAUUAACCACUUCGUCUCCGAUCUUUUCUCCAGAAAUGGUAGGUACAUAUUUCUUUCGAAGGUAAUAACACCAGAUCGGCCAAAUAAGAAAAGAAAAGGAAUAGGUUGCACUAUAGGGUUUAACAUCUAUCUUGUUGCUGAAUCAGCUAAGGAUUUUUGUAGUCAUUAUUUAUAAUUUGAUAUUUCGAGAUUCUAAAAAAGACAUUUCUGCAGCCCUCCAUAGGUGAAUCAACUAAUGGUGCUAAAAAUAUGAAUAAUACAUCGCGUGGAGCAGAAGAUGGAAUGUUUGCUGGCUUGUUUGACGCAAACUGGAAGUUUCUCUCCUCCUGGUGACGAACUACCUCCUUUUUGAGAUGUCUCUUGCGGUGGUGAAGGAAGUGGCAUAAACUUUUUGCGUCGAUUAAUUGGAAGCCAAUGCUUGUUACGGAUAUGCAUACUUAAUUAAGUGCAACAUGACACUUCUCUUUUUGGCCAUGCACAUGCUGAUGGUUGUGAUCUGAUCAGUGACUUACAUGAUUCAUAGGUGUGUGACAAUCCUAGUUAGAUGACACUUUGUGAAGUGUAGGGUACUUUUGUAAGCUCCUGGUUGUUGUCAUGUAAAAUGAUGAUGGUUAAUAUAUGUGUGUGCUUGUGUGUGCGCGCGUCACUUUUGUGUCUUCAACUUUCUAGAGUGAUUAUGUACAACUUAUACAUUUGUGCAAAUACAAUGAACGUAUGUGUUUUUACCAUACUAUUUAUAAGUAAUGAUUCCCUAGGGUUCCCAAAC